UACGUAGGGGGCAAGCGUUAUCCGGAUUUACUGGGUGUAAAGGGAGCGUAGACGGCGAGACAAGUCUGAAGUGAAAGGCGGGGGCCCAACCCCCGGACUGCUUUGGAAACUGCCUUGCUGGAGUGCAGGAGGGGUAUGCGGAAUUCCUAGUGUAGCGGUGAAAUGCGUAGAUAUUAGGAGGAACACCGGCGGCGAAGGCGGCAUACUGGACUGUAACUGACGUUGAGGCUCGAAGGCGUGGGGAGCAAAC
rnacentral:rRNA from 1 species